AGAUUUUGAGUCAUAAUUCUAACAUUCCUUCCCUACGUGAAAACAUUAUUUUAAAUAUAUUAAUUAGAUAUAAUUAAAAAUUACUUGAAGUUAAAUUUAAUAUAUUUUAAUUAGUUAUAAAAAUUUUUAAAUAGUUAAAUAACUUUUAAAAAUAUUUAUUUAAUAAUAUUUGAAACAAUAUUAAAAAAAAGUUUGGACCAUAAUUAAAAUUUAGUAAAUAUAUUUUUUUUU
rnacentral:misc_RNA from 1 species